CAGGGUUUGUGAGGGGGAGAGAGGUGAGAUGUGGAUUGCAAGAAGUAGUCUGUGGCCGAUUAUAUCAGGCUUUGGAGGUUUUUUAUAAGGAUCUGGCUUUUAUCCUAAAUAAGCUAGGGAGCCAAUGAAGGGUUUUGAGCAGAGAAGUGUCAUGAUCUAAAUCAUAUGUUUAAAGCAUCAGACUGGCUGCUGUGUUGAGAAUAAACUGGUGGGCUAAGGCAGCAGGAGGGAGACCAGCUAGGAGGUGAUUGCAGGAAGUCAAGCAAGUGAUAAUGGGCUUGUACCCAGCUAGUGGGGUUCCAGUUAGUGAUGUUGAAAGUGUUGAAAAGUGUUCCGUUUCUGCUUUUUUUUAAAUGUGAAACCAACAGGACAUGCCAGUGAUUAUAAAGCAUAUGAUGAUGAUAUAGGAUAAAGGAAGAGAGGAGUUAAUUAAAUAUGACACUGAUGUUUUUAUCCUGAACAAAUGGAAGGAAGGAAUUGCUGAAAUAGAGACGUCUCUGAAGAGCAGAAGCUGUUUUGAACAUUGCAGUUUGAAAUACCUAUUAGACCUCUGCUUGGAGAUCCCAAACAGGAAAAAUCAGUGGUUAUGGUCAGAAAGUGGGAAGCUUGAAGUUGAGAUUAUCAAGUUAAUAUCAGUGCAGUCAUUGGUAAUGAUAAGUUCUAGGAUCUAAGCAAUGGGAAGAAAGAAGUUGGCUGAAGAAAUGAUGGAAAUUAAUUAUAUAAUUGAAGAAAAAGAAGUCAAGGCACUGAGAGCAUGUUCAGUUGGCAGAAAUUCCAUGACAGCAUCUACAAGGGCAUAUUGGAGAGAGUGAGGAAAUUAAACCAGUUGCCUGCUGGGCUGGUUGGUGUACAGAAGAGGAGAAGGAUUCUGAGGGGUCAUCUCCAAUCCCAUUUUUUUUCAGCCCCAGCCUGCAUCCCUUUCUACAGAAGUAACAACAAUUUCCAGUUUCUGAGCCUUUCCAGGGUUGUACAGUAGGUAUUCAUUUGCUUUUUGAUAUUUUCCACAGCAAAGCAAACUUUCUUGCUGCUCUGUUAACUUCGUUACCACUCACCCGUCUGCCUUCUGUCUUCCAACAUUUUGUUGCUAGCUCUUGUCUGCUGUUGCCUCUUCUGUUCUCUUUAUCCUUCCAGGUUUUAUAAGAUUGUUUUUAUUCCUUUUCAGUCAUUUCAGAGAGGCUUCAGGAUGGAGUUGUGAUAAACGCAUGUGUUCAGUCUACAAUGUUUAACAGGGAGUGCCUCUUGAUUUUUUCAUGUGAAUUACUGAGGAGUAGGUAGUAGACUAUCUUGAUGCCCUUCCUCAUGUCCCUUUGACUCUGAGUUGACCUGCAGCUGCAGUGAACACUUCCUAAGGAUGCUGAUGUCUUCCCCUAUCAAGCACUUGCCUCAUUCUGCUUCUCCGAGGAUUUCCUCCAGUACACCAAGAGCUUGCCCGACACUCACAAGGUAUCCUGGAACUGCUGGGGACUGAAAACCCCUCAACCCAUGAAGAAUGAGGAUCAGUGGAUUAAUAGCAACUGUCCCAUACCUUGGUGGGACUAUUAUAAGGCAUUCUGGUUGGUUCCUCAGAGGUCCCAAAUGGGAUUGAACCAAAGUUGCCCACAGUAAAAACUCAUUCACCAACUCAAUUUUCAUUUCACCCCUCUCAAUUUGCACACUCACUCACUUGUUCUACCUGGGAUACUCUCCAAGAUAAACUCCUGUAUCCAAAGCUUUGUCUCAAGGUCUCAUUUGGGAGGAACUCAAACUAAGAUAAUAGGUACUGGAAGUGACUACAGAAAGUAUAUUAUCAAUGGUAUGGAGGCAACAAAAACCCCAUUAAUGGUGGUGAGUAAGGUGGUGACAAACCCUGGCACUUUGAAGAAUUUCAUUACCCACAAUUGACCCAUGGUGUACUUGGAUGAGGUAAAAAUGAAAGGAGACGCUAACCUUAUGCAAUAGUGCUAACUCCUGAAAGAUAUAGGGCUGUGAUAAUCACAGGAAUUGAAGAGUUGUCUUGUUCUUGUUAACUCCCCUAGAAGAAUUGGGAAAAAAGAAAGAUAGGUUUACAACAUCCAACUACCCAUUCAGAGCAUAGCAAUGAAAGCCAGAAGGUCUCCUUGGGAGAAUCUGAAGAGACCCCCAUUUCCUGCAACCAGAGGGCAGGCUGUUCUAAAAAAAUGACAUUCAGGGGUUCACUGCAAGAGGAAUUGAACUACAGAGCAGACUGAAGACACAGUCCAGGCAGGCCUCUCAUGCAAAAGUCAAAGCCCUAGAGGAAGGAAAUGGUCCUUAAAAACUACUGGGAUGCAGGCAGGCAUCUGGAUAGAUGUGCUAGAUAACCUUGAACCCCUAGAUUCCCUGAACAACCCAGGCUAGCAGGAGUAUCCUGCACCCUGUUACUUGAACAGAACAGCUUCCCUUUGCCUAGAGACUCUACACAGUCCUCCUCUGAAGCAGACACCUCCAAGAUUACUUCAAGGUCUGCUACUUCCUGCCCUCAUUGCCUCUAUUCCAAAAACUGGAAACAAGUCUCAGCAUGCCCUGAGCAGGGUAGCACAUUUCUUGCUGUGAGAGAUAUGACAGAUUGUAUUUUCUAAAGAAGGCUGCAACCAUGUCUCUCAUCCCAAAUGCUCUUCUACAAUGCAAUCUUGUCACUCCUCUACCAAGAGAUGAAACCUAAUUUCAAUGCCCUUGAAUCUAAGCUGGACUUUACUUGCUUUGACCUGUAAUGUACAGAAGUGACACUGUGUGAUUCUUACAGCUGAGUCAUAAAAGGUGAUGCAGCUUCUGCCUUGUUCCUGGGGACAUAUGCCUCUGUGAGAUUGAGCUACUAAAUAACAAGACCACCUACCUUGAGGCUGCCAUGCUGGAAGAAAGCAAAGCCACAUGAAGAGCAAGUAAGCUGGUUGCUUUAGCAAGAUCCUUCAUAUUGAUAGUGAAUGUGCACUUCUGUCUUUCUCUUGUGAAUGCAAACCACUUUUUCAAUAGUCUCACGUUAAGUGCCAAAGAUUGUUGUUUUUGUUGAAUGCAUUCUCUUUAUCAUUCACUACCUGGCCCUAGGAAUUUGUUCAAUGAUCCUCAUUUCUGUUACAAUAUAGUCUUCAGUGACCUUGAUCAUCUUCACAUUCUAUAGAACAUCAUCCUGGCCCAUUAUAUUAAUGACAGAAUAAUAAUUGAACUUGGUUUUUAGGAAGGAGCAAGUAUACUGGUUUUAAAUACUUCAUGCUGAAGGAAUGAGAGAUAAGCCCUACAAAGUUUUGGAAGUCUGCCACAUCAGGGAAUAUUUUAGGGGCCCAAAGAUCCAGGGGUAUGUUGAGACACCCUACUCAAAAGAAUACUUUACAUUUCCUACCACUAAGACAGAGGCACAGCACUUGGUGAGCUGCUUUGAAUUCCUGAGGCAAAAAAAUAACAAUAAUAAAUACUACCCAUGAGAAUAAUGCUCUGAUCUAUUGUAUCAGAAGACUAUUGACUUUGCGGGGGUCUGAGAGAGUAUCUGAAUAGCCUUUUAAAGACUUAAAAAGGCAUUGGCUUAGGAAUUGCACCUUGCAUGGCUAGGUCAUUGUCCUCGAGGAUACAGCAUAUUUGUUGAACCAGUGAUCACUAUAUGCAAUCACUGUGCUGUUUUCCCAGCAUUUGGAAUACACAGGAAUGAUAAUUAAAGGAUACAAGUAGGACUGACUUAAACACACUCCCUUUCACCCAUUAGUGGAAAUUAUGUUUUUAAUUCUUACAACUUUAGGCUCUUCCUGAUUAAAAGCCUUGGUCUCAAGGUGUGUGUACAGACGGAGACAGUAAGUGUUCCACUGCAUCAAUGCAGUGCCAUCUGAGGAUUUGGGCAUCUCCAUACUGACAGGUCAGCAGGCAAAAAUGGGAGUACUAUACUGGCAGGGACACCUGACUGAUUAUCUUGAAGAGUCGGAGUUGCUGCUACAUAAUGGGCCCAGGGAGGAAGAUGUCUAGAACUUGGGGGAAUCACUCAGGCCCCCCUUAGUGCUUCUUUGUCUGGCGAUAAUAGCAGAGAAGCAAUUGAAGUAGCCAUGUCCUCACAAGGGCAAGGUAAUCAAGGCCCAGCCACUCAGAGAUGAAGGUCUGGUCAUACACUGAGCAAGCAAUGAUGACUAGUGGAAGUGCUAGCCAAGGAUUCGGGAAAUCUAGAAGAAGUGGAAUUGGAGAGAGAUGAUGAGUAUAGAUUAUAGCCUUGGGACCAGCUGCAGCAGUGAAGAUUGUGACUUGUUCCACAUAUUCUUCUAUUUUCAGUCAUUUUUGGAGAUUGCAGCCAGCUACAACUCUGAAAUGUCAGUAACAGAGCAAACUAAGGGUGGGCAUGAGAGGAUCUGCUGAGAGCAAGGAAUGAACAUGGUAGUCACUAAUGAUACACUGCCCAUGUUCCCCGGCUCACCUGUUAGCUCCCCGGCAGCUUGCAAACAUGUCUAUACACACUGCCAUCUUCCUACCACGAGUGCCAUAACUCUCUGCUUCUCUGCUGAGGCCCUUCUCAGCUCACAGUGCGAGUAGCCUGCAAGUGCUAAGGGCAUAAUGCCUCCAAGGUCAACUUUAAUCAACGAGGUUCAAGAGUCAGAAGAGUGAAUUCCUUCUGAGAUACAUUCUUUCUGGUUUCUCAGAGGCUCCCCAGAGGAAGUAGGCCCCAGUUGCUUAGGAAAAAUGGAACCUACUUAUUAAGGCACCCCCUUUUUACUUUUCUCCUUUCUUUCUCUCCCUUUCCCCACUCCAUUCCGUGAAGUUCCUGGGAUCACCAAAUAAACUAUCUGUAAUCAAAUCUUUAUCUCACUCUGCAUUCUGGGGAACCCAAACAAAGAUGGUAAGUUUGCCUAUCUACAUUUAUGUCUUAUUUGCUACAAGUAUUACUGGUAAUUUUCUUGACAAAAGUAAUAUGAUAUCUGCUGAUAGGCCAAAAUAAUACAUAUUUAUAGUGAUAACUGCAGCAAAAAUGUGAAAACCAAUUUUAAAAAGUUAUUUUCACUAGUUUAAGAAAAAUGAAGAAAUUGAACUUUUAAAAAAUGCAGUAAUACCUCCUAACACAUUAUGAAGAGGAAUAUUUUCAUAACUGUAGAAAUGGUUGGUAAGGCUGUCAACUAUCCAAGGAUUAUAUUGAAAUAGCUGUCAUUGGCCAACUACUAUGACUAAUGAAAUCAACAUUUUCACCAUGCAGGCAAAAUAAACGUCAUGAGUCAAAUUUAAGAGGUAUUUCUUUUUUUCUUUAAAAGUUGUUGAACUAUCCAGGUUACUCAACCCUCAGUUUUUCAUUUUACAACAGAGUUUUCACAUACACAAAUACACAUACACACACAUUUGCAUUCAGACAUAUUCAGACAUACAUGCACACAUCUUUUAGCAUUUUAAAUAUUUUCAAAGUGUAGCUCUACAGACUCAUGCAUUUUAACUUUGGUAAUGCAUGCAGUAUUCCCUUUGGAAUGCAGCUUAUGAAGAAAUCCACGCUGGGGGCAAGUAUAUAGUAAUUCUUUCUUUAUCUCCUGCAUAUAUUAGGAAACCCUCCAGGAGGGUUAUUACUAAGACAAAUUUAGAAAGACCUCCACAUUCACAGAGACAAAAAUAUCAGCGGCAUCCUGAAAAAGCCAAUGAGUGAUCAAAAAUCAGAAAUAAACAAGCUUUGCUCAUUUUAAGCCAUAUAAAUAUUUGUUGAAUAAAUCCUGUUUUGUUUUCACUUUUGAUGGGAUGUUAGUUUGUGAAAUCAAAUGAUACCCAGAUUCUUUCUUCCCAUAGGUUUAUAAAUACCCAAAUAUGGCAUAUUUGACUCCAUAUACAGGCUUUGUUGAACAUGGAUUGUUUUUGUCUACCUUUCUCCAUUUCAAUCACAUGGUUCUAGUGUGAACUUCUAAUUAUGGACCCCUGAUCUCUCUGUUCCAGUCAAAGGGCAGGAAUGUGGUUAAUUACCAUGCAUCAUGCACUGUCUUUAGUGAUUAUUCUAAGAGGCUAUGAAAGGUAAACCAAUCAGAGGCCUUCACCAGGAUUCUGAAGUGGAGCUCCACAAGGAAGAAGAGCUUUCUUUGUUAAUGAUGAUGUCUGGAAGCAGCCAUGUAACUCCACCCCAUGGAGACAGCUGGUAUAGAAGAAUGAAGCCAAAUUGUAGGGACAGGUGAUACCAAGUGUAAGGUCCUCAGUUCUAGAGUUGGAGAAUCCCACUGCCCAACUCUGUGCACCCUGUCUUCUGGGGUUUGGUUGUUCCCUUCACAAGCUUUCUGGGAGCACCUAUUGUAUCUCUCCCCGUAUUCCUCCAUGGAGCUCAAAGUAAGCCACCUUGGGUUUCCACUGUUUACAACCAAGAGCUCUGAUAUAUGUGCUGCAUUUACUUUUGCUGUUUUAUCAAAUACUUACAAACUCAACUGCUUAAUUAGGCAAAGCAUUCUAUUGCUUUUCCUUUUUGAUAUCUCAGUAAUUGAUUUCUAAGGAAGAGAGGGCAUCUUGCUGGGAUUGUUUUCACCUAUUGCUCUUUUGCCCAGCCUCACCCAGCUCAGAUAUUGACUAAAGCCGUUCAACUCAGCUGGUCUGGCUACAGAGUACAGGGGUAGGUGCGCACCAUGGCUCAGGUGCAAUAACGACUGUAGCUUCCCAAAUUGUAAUGUCAGGUUACCAAUGUCGAGACGAAUUGGGAUUGCCUAAGUGAUUCCCUGGGUACACUCACCUUUUUACCCAAUGAUAAAAACGAGAGAUCUCAACAAAAUAGCUCUUAUCUAUUAUGCUGCAGACUGACAAUUCUUUUUUUUGUUUGUUUGUUUUUUUGAAGACAGAGUCUCACUCUG
rnacentral:lncRNA from 1 species